GUAAAUUGAUUUACUUGCAUUACAAAUAACCUCAGGUAAUGUUACAAGUCGCCAACAGCGAGCCUUCCCUUUAGUAGUGCUAUAUGCUUAGUGACCAUGCUAUUAAAUAGAGGACCUUCACUUUUAAUUUCGUGACAUUUUUCCUACAAGUAAUGUUAGCCCACAGUAGCAUAGCCUGCUGUCAAACGCUUCUGGUCAGUGCGCAUGGAUGACAUUUGGCACGAAUCAGUCACGUUAAAUGCAGCGAUCAGGGAUUUAAAUAUCCCGGUGCUAUUGCAAUAGUUUCGAUGUUUUUGCUCUUUUUUCACGAUGUGUUAAUGACAUUGUACAUUGUAGAAUAGCCUGCUGUCAAACGGUUGUGGGUAGUGCCUUACCUUACCUGAGGGAAAAUAAAGCGCUAGGUUGCGCUGCGCGCCAAAACUUUAUGGAUGACAUUUAGCACGUUAAAUGCAGCGAUCAGGGAUUUAAAUCUCAUGUUUUUAUAUACAUGUACAUGUACAUUUACAGACGUAUACAUGAACAUUGACAGACUUUCUAUGUGUCCACAAAACUAAUGCUGUCAUGUUCUCUCUCCCUCUUCUCGUUUGUGACAGUGUGCUACGUUGUGUUUUGCGUGUUUGUGAAGUGUAAGUGACAUAUUGUGUUAUAUUUAGACAUCCUUGAGAGAUGGAGAGUUUGGGGUGGACAUUAUGUGUAACUUCUGUACACAUGCUUCCAAUCCAUCAGGUACUGACGCAACAGAUCCGCAAUGAUGUGGACAAAGACGCGGUCUUGAUCAGCAUUGGAAGUUGUCGUGCCACGUUUCGCAACUUAGACAGUCUGGCAGGUCCAGAGUUCAACUGGCUGACCAAUGAUAAUACACGCGUUGCAGUGAUUGCUGCAGAUCACAAACAAUGUUCCACUGUGUGGUCAGCGAGCAGUGCGUGCGUUGCGCUUGUAGGAAGUCCUUCACGGUUCCCAAGUGCGGCGUGCAAUCUGUCAGCGCACACCUGGGGUUAGACGUGC
ensembl:lncRNA